rnacentral:lncRNA from 1 species
CAUACAUAAACAUAUACAUACACACACACACACACACACACUAUGACUGUUAUCCUUAGAAGGGAUUAGGACACAGAUAUGCAUACAUAUACAAACAUACACGCGCACACACACACACACAAUAUGACUGUUAUCCUUAGAAGGGAUUAGGACACAGGUAUGCAUACAUAAACAUACACACACACACACACACACACACACACACUAUGACUGUUAUCCUUAGAAGGGAUUAGGACACAGAUAUGCAUACAUAUACAAACACACACACAUACACACACACA